UCCAGACUCCUACGGGAGGCAGCAGUGGGGAAUAUUGCACAAUGGGGGAAACCCUGAUGCAGCGACGCCGCGUGAGCGAAGAAGUAUUUCGGUAUGUAAAGCUCUCUCAGCAGGGAAGAAAAAAAUGACGGUACCUGAGUAAGAAGCACCGGCUAAAUACGUGCCAGCAGCCGCGGUAAUACGUAUGGUGCAAGCGUUAUCCGGAUUUACUGGGUGUAAAGGGAGCGUAGGCGGCGCGUUAAGUCUGAUGUGAAAACCCGAGGCUCAACCACGGGAGUGCAUUGGAAACUGGCGGGCUGGAGUGCCGGAGAGGUAAGCGGAAUUCCUAGUGUAGCGGUGAAAUGCGUAGAUAUUAGGGGGAACACCAGUGGCGAAGGCGGCUUACUGGACGGCAACUGACGCUGAGGCUCGAAAGCGUGGGGAGCAAACAGGAUUAGAUACCCCGGUA
rnacentral:rRNA from 1 species